CAUGUAGGCGGAUUAAUAAGUUUGAAGUGAAAUCCUAUAGCUUAACUAUAGAACUGCUUUGAAAACUGUUAAUCUAGAAUGUGGGAGAGGUAGAUGGAAUUUCUGGUGUAGGGGUAAAAUCCGUAGGGAUCAGAAGGAAUACCGAUUGCGAAGGCGAUCUACUGGAACAUUAUUGACGCUGAGAUGCGAAAGCGUGGGGAGCAAACA
rnacentral:rRNA from 1 species